ensembl:lncRNA novel transcript
AGAGGGGAGGACGUGGGGCUAUCAGUCCAACUCCUCAGUUAAUAGCCAGGGAAACAGAAGCCCAGGGAGAUAAAGACGGUGGCAGAGGAGGAAUUCUUUCUUAGCAGAUCUUCCAUUCCUAAUCCAGGAUCAUUUCCAGGGCUCCCAGGAGAAAUCUUUUGCCACAUUUGGAGAAAGGAUUGAAGAGAAAUGAGAGCCUGGAUGUGAAGAAAACAUUAGGAAGCUGCAGCAGUAACCUAUGUGAGAAAUUAAGAGAACCUAAAUCAGAUCCGUUGGCCAUCAAGAUUUCACUCAUUUUGAGACCUAGAGAUUGGUGCUCCUGGAGCUGUGAAAUGCGUGGCCUCUGUAGCCCUGUGAAGGUCUUGUUUCUAUGGCGAUACAAGAGAAAGUCUUUGCAGAGUUGUUGCAGCUGGAAGUCUUCACUUACUUUAAGAGCUCAUUAAAGCUAGUGGAGGUAAAGGGCAGGUGGAGAUCCUGAAAGUGCCUAGCAGAGGUUGAAACUUUAUAGCAAAGUUAAGAGUCAGUAGGAGCACACAAAGAAUUCCUUUCUUGUCAUUGUAAUUACCUUACAUAGGCAUGAAACUUUCCAAACCUAUCUAACAUCAACUUUACAUAUUCAUAAUAUUUUUUACGUACAGCCUUAACAUUUGGUCUGAGACAACUUUUUAGACAAUUUAGACAAUUUUUCAAACUACUUUUUUGAGGAAGCAGAGUAUUAUAUGGCAGCUACAGAAUGAUAAAGGAUGACUGGAGAGUUUUCUCUUCAGAAAAAAGAACAAACUUUUCUUCAUGUGAAAGGUAAACAGAGAGAGAGAAGUUCAGCAGCAUAAUUAAUAAGAUGGUUCUGCAAUGUCUAAUAACUUCUCCUUUUUGUUUGCCUCUGUACACAAUAAAAGUGUUAAAGUAUAAUUUUCAAAAAAA